rnacentral:rRNA from 1 species
ACUUAGUGGCGGACGGGUGAGUAACGCGUGGAUAACCUGCCUUAAUGACCGGGGAUAACACCGGGAAACUGGUGCUAAUACGGGAUACGCUCAAGUGAACACAUGUUUGUUUGAGGAAAAGGAGCAAUCCGCAUUAAGAUGGGUCCGCGUCCCAUUAGCUAGUUGGAGGUGUAAGAGACCCCCCAAGGCGACGAUGGGUAGCCGGCCUGAGAGGGUGAACGGCCACACUGGAACUGAGACACGGUCCAGACUCCUACGGGAGGCAGCAGUGGGGAAUCUUCCGCAAUGGGCGAAAGCCCUGACGGAGCAACGCCGCGUGAAUGAUGAAGGCCUUCGGGUUGUAAAAUUCUGUCUUCAGGGAAGAAACAAAUGACGGUACCUGAGGAGGAAGCCCCGGCUAACUACGUGCCAGCAGCCGC